AACAAACGCUGGCGGCGUGCCUAAUACAUGCAAGUCGAACGAGGUAGCAAUACCUAGUGGCGCCCGGGUGAGUAACGCGUGGAUAAUCUGCCCUUCAGUGGGGAAUACCUCUCCGACAGGAGAGCUAAUACCGCAUAAGACCACAGUGACUUUGGUCACAGCGGUUAAAGGAGCAAUUCGCGGAAGGAUGAGUCGGCGAAAGAUUAUGGUCGUUGGUGGGGUAACGGCCUACCAAGCCUUCGAUCUGUAGCUGGUCUGAGAGGAGGAUCAGCCACACGGGAAGUGAUACGCGGCGCAGCAUCCUACGGGGGGAAGCAGGAGUGAAUAAUGGUCAAUGGGCGAAAGACUGAAGAAGCAGCGACGCGUGGGCGACGAAGGACGUAGGGGUGUAAAGCUCUGUUGCAAGGGGAGAAAAAAAUGACGGUACUUUGCGAGAAAGCACCGGCUAACUUCGUG
rnacentral:rRNA from 1 species